rnacentral:misc_RNA from 1 species
AUGAAGAACGCAGCGAAAUGCGAUAAGUAAUGUGAAUUGCAGAAUUCAGUGAAUCAUCGAAUCUUUGAACGCACAUUGCGCCCCCUGGUAUUCCGGGGGGCAUGCCUGUUCGAGCGUCAUUUCACCACUCAAGCCUCGCUUGGUAUUGGGCAUCGCGGUCCGCCGCGUGCCUCAAAUCGACCGGCUGGGUCUUCUGUCCCCUAAGCGUUGUGGAAACUAUUCGCUAAAGGGUGUUCGGGAGGCUACGCCGUAAAACAACCCCAUUUCUAAGGUUGACCUCGGAUCAGGUAGGGAUACCCGCUGAACUUAAGCAUAUCAAUAAGCGGAGGA